rnacentral:rRNA from 1 species
GACAGAGGGUGCAAACGUUUGUUCGGAAUUACUGGGCGUAAAGCGCGUGUAGGCGGCUAAGUAAGUCGGGCGUGAAAUCCCACGGCUCAACCGUGGAAGUGCACUCGAAACUGCAUAGCUAGAGUCCUGGAGAGGAAGGUGGAAUGCUUGGUGUAGAGGUGAAAUUCGUAGAUAUCAAGCGGAACACCGGUGGCGAAGGCGGCCUGCUGGGCUAUGGCUGACACUGAGGCGCGACAGCGUGGGGAGCAAACAGG